UGUGCACAAAAAAAUUAAUUAAAUUGUGGAAAAGUCAAAACAUGUAAAAUCCUAUAGCACGGAAUACUGCAGACGUAUGUAAACAUUACCGUAAUGAAGUGCGUAGAGCGUAUAAACGCCGCUGGCUGCCAGCAUUGCGUGUGAUAACAAAAACAUAAGCAUAUAGUGUAUAUAUAUAUAUAUGUAACAGUUCAGCGAAAUUUACAAUCAAUUAUGAAAUGAAAAUUCUCGCAUAAAUAAACCAAUUUUCGUUUACGAAAAGCUGAAAGCAAAGUGUAAUGAGAAAAGUGCAAAAGUGCAAGCUCAGAAUAUCUGUACGGCGAAUAUACAUAUAUAUUAUCUACACUAUAUACAUAUAUGUAAAAUGUAUUACUCAGGUUCGCCGAUCGAUGCUUCGACGCAUUUGGACCCUACCUCAAUGCAACUCGUUACAUACAAAUAAUGUGUAUACCGACUGUACGCAAGUGAAUUUCUAUACUAAACGAGUGCAUUUACGGACUAAGGUCUAUGUAGUGGCUCAUUGCAAAAUCUAUGUGUUUGAGUGUAUGUGCACAUACACUAGGAAGCAAAUUUUUAAUUUUGAAAUGCAAUUUACAUUAAUUUAAAAUAUAUUAUAGCCGUACUUAGUACGCGCUUUCGUGCAAUUUAGUUAAUUGAAUUUUUCGCAUACAAGAAAUGGCGACGGCAUUCGGUAAUGAUUGGCACGAGCAUUCGCUUACGAAAGCUAACAACGAAAUUGUCAACGCCGGCGGCAUAAACAUAUGACGAAAGUGCAAAGGUGUUAAAAAAAUCAGCAAAACAAAAGCCGGAGGACCUUAAUGAGGUCUUUAAAUUCGUAAGGAUUUGGAAGCCUUGGUUCAACGGUAUGUCUCAGAUUUGCAUAAAUUAAAAAGGAGGAAUGGAGCCUGAAUAAAUCAAAGCUUGGAAGGUUACUUUGUGCUUUAACUACUACUAGCAAAUAAAAAUUGUUUUAAAUGACGGAAUUGGAAGUAUUCAGAUAAAUGUGUAAAAGGAUAUUUUUGAAACCAAGUUCAUCUUUCUACAACGCAAAUUCUUCAGAUUGCUUAGAACUGUAUAAAAUAAGCAUGCUAGUUGACAUUCAUAAAUGAGUUAAAGGUUUGUCCAAGUAUCUUCUACAAUUAUAUAUAUAUUGUUCGAGAAGUGAAAGGCCAGGUGGACAAGAAAGAUUCAAGAGACCUUAGUCCAGCUGAAGAAUUUUACGUUAACGUUUAUCAUGAAAGUUGGAGCACAAUAGACCUAAGGUCGCGGUGCAUUCCUCAUUUAUUAAUCUUAUCAUGAAAGCUUCUCUUUUAAGGCAUGAUUUUCCUCAUGUAGUGAGGAUAAUCAAGAAGGCAAAAGUUCUUCGAUAUUUCCUUUUCAAAUAUUUCCUUCAAAAGCAAUGACAAUUUGGACCUCUAAAUACUACACUACGUUGAUUAUGACAUUGUACGAGUAUAUUCUUGUUUAUUAGCGUAGACAUCGCUUUCGCGAUUACAGCCGAUUAUAUAGUAUACGAGUAUAUAGCUAGUAGAAAUCGACAUCAUGAAUGUAAAAAGAAUUUAUAAAAGGCGGUUUGACUGAUGGGUCUUGUAACAACUUACAAGGAAAUUUCAACGAUUUAAAAUUUCCGAAAAGUGCUGAUUGCUCUUUUGAGUUUAGGUUAUAUACUAGUAAAUAAUAAAAAUUGAACAACUCGUCUAACAACCAUGUAUAUCACCCAAAAACGACAAUCAUAUCUCCGAUUAACGUAACAAUCUUGUACUUGAAAUGAAUUUUAUUUUAUGGUUUGUUAUCCGUUAUUAUUUAUAGUCGACAUAAGAACUUCAAGCUGAUCCAUCUCUAAUAC
rnacentral:lncRNA from 1 species